AGGGAGAGGGGGUUGGAUCUUCAAACUGGUGACAGGAUCUUUGAGCAUCUCUUCUGAAAGGCCUGAAGCAUGCUAACAUCGUCCUCCUUCAUGACAUCAUCCACACCAAGGAAACCCUAACUCUGGUUUUUGAAUAUGUGCACACAGACCUGUGUCAGUACAUGGACAAACACCCUGGAGGACUGCAUCCAGACAACGUCAAGCUCUUCCUGUUCCAGUUGCUGAGAGGUCUGUCCUACAUCCACCAGAGGUACAUUCUUCACCGUGACCUGAAACCCCAAAACCUCCUCAUUAGCGACACUGGAGAGCUGAAACUCGCCGACUUUGG